rnacentral:rRNA from 1 species
GUGUAUAGCCAUGCCACCCUGAACGUGCCCAAUCUCAUCUGAUCUCAGAAGCUAAGCAGGGUAGGGCCUGGUUAGUACUUGAAUGAGAGACUACCUGGGAAUAUCAGGUGCUAUAGGUG